rnacentral:rRNA from 1 species
CCUACGGGAGGCAGCAGUGGGGAAUAUUGGACAAUGGGCGAAAGCCUGAUCCAGCAAUGCCGCGUGAGUGAUGAAGGCCUUAGGGUUGUAAAGCUCUUUUACCAGGGAUGAUAAUGACAGUACCUGGAGAAUAAGCUCCGGCUAACUCCGUGCCAGCAGCCGCGGUAAUACGGAGGGAGCUAGCGUUGUUCGGAAUUACUGGGCGUAAAGCGUACGUAGGCGGUUAUUCAAGUCAGAGGUGAAAGCCCGGGGCUCAACCCCGGAACUGCCUUUGAAACUAGAUAGCUAGAAUCUUGGAGAGGUUAGUGGAAUUCCGAGUGUAGAGGUGAAAUUCGUAGAUAUUCGGAAGAACACCAGUGGCGAAGGCGACUAACUGGACAAGUAUUGACGCUGAGGUACGAAAGCGUGGGGAGCAAACAGGAUUAGAUACCCUGGUAGUCCACGCCGUAAACGAUGAUAACUAGUUGUUCGGGCACUUGGUGCCUGAGUGACGCAGCUAACGCAUUAAGUUAUCCGCCUGGGGAGUACGGUCGCAAGNUUAAAACUCAAAGAUAGUACGGCGUGAGAGAGCGACGACGACGACGAGGAGGAG